rnacentral:rRNA from 1 species
CCUACGGGAGGCAGCAGUGGGGAAUAUUGCGCAAUGGGCGAAAGCCUGAUGCAGCGACGCCGCGUGAGGGAUGAAGGCCUUCGGAUCGUAAAGCUCUGUCAGCAGCGAAGAACGGUUACUGUGCUAAUCAGUAGUGAAUUGACGGUACCUGCAAAGGAAGCACCGGCUAACUCCGUGCCAGCAGCCGCGGUAAUACGGAGGGUGCGAGCGUUAAUCGGAAUUACUGGGCGUAAAGCGCUCGUAGGCGGUAUGUCAAGUCAAGGGUGAAAGCCCCGCGCUUAACGUGGGAACUGCCUUUGAGACUGGCUAACUGGAGUGUGUGAGAGGAUAGUAGAAUUCCAGGUGUAGGAGUGAAAUCCGUAGAUAUCUGGAGGAACAUCAGAGGCGAAGGCGACUAUCUGGCACAGAACUGACGCUGAGGAGCGAAAGCGUGGGUAGCAAACAGGAUUAGAUACCCGGGUAGUC